GGGUUGGUAGUAGGGGAGGGGCUGGCUGGUAUAAGGGGCAGCCCUGCUAGCCAGUGGCAAGGUUCAUUGCUGGCUCUUGUUAUUGCCAAGGUCCCUGUCUGGCUGUAAGGGGGCAGGGGAGGGGGCAGGGCAGGGUUGGGGGCCCAGGGUUUGGGGAUUCCCUUCACUCCCUCUAGGGGUGUCUGGCUCCAUCCCCAGAGGUGGGACCCGGGGCCCCAUGCCAGUGUCGCAGCCAUGGCCCUGCUGGGUCCCUCCUUACCUUACUGCAAAUCUUCCUAGACGUGGAACCUGCCCAGGACGGAGCCGACCCUGCCAGCCCAGCCAGGGAUCUGAACCUGAUCUUGGGCAUCUCGGUGCCCUGUGCCCUGCUGCUGGGGCUGCUGGGGCUGCACAGGGUGGCAUCAUCCUGGCGAAGACCCAGGGAGCCGGGCCCCGCUGGCGGCGAGGCUGGCGUCGGUGAUCGUUACGCUGGCCGUGGUGGUGGUGGACACACUGAGGAGCAGCUGCACUAUGCUGCCAUUGGCCAGUUCUGCAGCCCCAGGAUGCUGCCCCCCAAGACCGAGGACCCGGUGACAUACGCGGUGCUGAAGUGAGCUUGCGCUGCUGCCCGCCCAUACGAGGAGUCGGGAUGCAGAGGGGACGCCCCACUUCUGAAGGGCACCAGGACUCUCGGGCGCAGUGGCUGAUGCUGGGGGGCAGAGAGGGCACUGGCUGGGUACGGGGACCACGCAGGAGCUUGGGAGUCCCCAGGAAAGCCACUCUGGCCUCUUGCUCACCUCUCAAUCAAGGUGUGGUCCUGGAAUGACCCCCCAGCCCUGCGGCUGGGCUCUGAACACUGCUCAGCCGCCCCAGGAGAGGAGUGGGCACCUGCCCUGCUGCCCCUUGGAGCUCGGGGGAGCUGGCAGGGUGCGACCCACUCCCAGGUUCCCCCUGCAGCCUCUCCCCAUCAGUGCCCUCCCACGGCCCUUGCACCAGGCUCUUCAGCAGCUUGAGAGCCAGGCGCUCCUGACCCAGCCAGGUAGCAAUGGCCGGGGUCGCUGGGUUAAUAAAACAAGCUGCUUCCUGCUGCAAUGACCAAACCAACCAGGCCACCUCCCUGUGUCCAUCUGUCUGUGUCUGGGGGCUGAGCUCACUCCCUGCAGCACAGCGCCCCCUACUAAGUCCCCCCACUCCCUCCGUCCCCUAGUGUCACCCACCCACUGGCGAGCUGGCCCAGGAUUCCUGCAUCUCUUUGUUUUAUCCUCCAUUUUCAGGAAAAUGAGACCAACUUUUAAAA